ACAAUGCACCGCCCGCCCUUUUCUUGCCGCCCCCCGCCUCUGCUCUCUGGAGACCCUGCGGAGCGAGCGCCGCGACCCUUUCCCGGCGCUCUUCGCGCGGUCUCGCGGUGACUCUGGUGGGUGGGGUCAAGGCGCGGGGCAGAGCUGCUGGGGUCGGGGCGUCAUGCGGAGGGGUGAGCGCAAGGGUGCCGAGGGGCCGCGGCCGGGGUCCCCUGUGCCCGUGGGCAAGGCCUCGCUGGAGGAGCCGCUGGACGGCGCGGCCGCGGGCCGAGCGAGCGGGCCGGCCGCUGGCCGCCGCAGCACCGAGUCAGAGGUCUACGACGACGGCACCAACACCUUCUUCUGGCGGGCCCACACCCUGAGCGUGCUCUUCAUCCUCACCUGCGUGCUGGGCUACGUGACACUGCUGGAAGAGACACCGCGGGACACGGCCUACAACACCAAGAGAGGUAUUGUGGCCAGUAUUUUGGUUUUCUUAUGUUUUGGAGUCACACAAGCUAAAGACGGGCCAUUUUCCAGACCUCAUCCAGCCUACUGGAGGUUUUGGCUCUGCGUCAGUGUGGUCUACGAGCUGGUGCUCAUCUUUAUACUCUUCCAGACCGUCCAGGACGGCCGCCAGUUUCUGAAGUAUGUAGACCCCAGGUUGGGGGUCCCGCUGCCGGAGAGGGACUACGGGGGAAACUGCCUCAUCUAUGAUGCCGACAACAAGACUGACCCCUUCCACAAUGUCUGGGACAAGCUGGACGGCUUUGUGCCCGCACACUUCAUCGGCUGGUACCUGAAGACCCUGAUGAUCCGUGACUGGUGGAUGUGCACGAUCGUGAGUGUGAUGUUUGAGUUCCUGGAGUACAGCCUGGAGCAUCAGCUGCCCAACUUCAGCGAGUGCUGGUGGGACCACUGGAUCAUGGACGUGCUCGUCUGCAACGGGCUGGGCAUCUACUGCGGCAUGAAGACUCUCGAGUGGCUGUCCCUAAAGACGUACAAGUGGCAGGGCCUCUGGAACAUUCCGACCUACAAGGGCAAGAUGAAGAGGAUCGUCUUCCAGUUCACGCCCUACAGCUGGGUCCGCUUCGAGUGGAAGCCAGCCUCCAGCCUGCGCCGCUGGCUGGCUGUGUGCGGCAUCAUCCUGGUGGUAAGGCCUGUGGCCUCCUGCAUGCCCCUGCCCUCCCCGCCCCGGGCGCCCUCCACCCUCCUCUGCCCCCAGUUUCUCUUGGCAGAGCUGAACACCUUCUACCUGAAGUUUGUGCUGUGGAUGCCCCCCGAGCACUACCUGGUCCUCCUGCGGCUAGUCUUCUUUGUCAACGUGGGCGGCGUGGCCAUGCGGGAGAUCUACGACUUCAUGGACGACCCGAAGCUCCACAAGAAGCUGGGCCAGCAGGCCUGGCUGGUGGCGGCCAUCACCGUCACGGAGCUGCUCAUCGUGGUGAAGUACGACCCGCACACGCUCACGCUGUCCCUGCCCUUCUACAUCGCCCAGUGCUGGACGCUCGGCUCCGUGCUCGCCCUCACCUGGACCGUCUGGCGCUUCUUCCUGCGGGACAUCACCCUGAGGUACAAGGAGACACGGCGGCAGAAGCAGCAGGGCAGGGACGACCAGGGCAGGGCGGACGGCAGCGUGGACGGGCGCCCACCAGGGCCCGACGACCCCUCGGGGCCCGAGGAGGCCGAGAGGGAGGGGGUGCCAGCACCGCACUGACGCUGUGGCUGGGCCUGCAGAGCCCAGGCCCGGCGCCCUCCGCCCUCUGCGGUUCCCGCCAGGAGCCUUCCAGCAGGCCUCAGCCCUCAAGGUUCUAUCUCCCUUUUCUCCCGCGUGCACGGUGGGGUGGGGCGCGCGCGUGUGUGUGGUGUGUGCACACGUGUCGGUGCGUGUGUGUGUGCACGUGUGCUCCUGAGGCCCUGGGGCUCGCCCUGGGCCGGCUGGUCCCCCUUCUGUGCCGUCAGCCUGCCGCCUUGGCCACCCCGAGCCUUGGUGCCCAGACGGCCCAGCCCAGGCAGCAGCGUCUCGGUGCCCCUCUCCGCUCCCUGGGCCCCGCCGGUCCCCCACGACCUUCUGGCGGCACGUGUGAAGGACAGUCGUCCAGGGACGCCCUGGCGUGGCUGGGAAAGGGCAGAUCCGCUUCCUCGGGAGCUUCCAUCUGACCCUCCAACCUGGAGGGAGAAUUUCAAACCUAGGGCGGCGGUUGUGAGGACGGACAGCGGCGUGCCUGUGCCCCCACCCCACCCUCUGCUCUUGCGUUGUGCUGUUGAGCUGAGUUUCUCAGCCUCUGGCUUCCGUGGGCUUCCUCACGUCAGGGGUGUGACCCGGGGCCUCAGUGUGCCCCACCCCACCUGCUGCUGUCCGAGUGUCACCUUUGAUCUGGGUUUAGGGCCGACGCCUGUCCCAACACUGCGGAGACACCAAGCGUCCUGUCUGCCCACCUCCACCCGGGGUUCUCGGCGUCACAGGGUUCAGUCGCUCUGGUCCCAGAUUACCUCAUUCCUGUGGCCUGUGCUCUCCCUGCAGGGCUGGAGGCCCGUGUUGCUCACUGGUCCCAGGCGUGGCCCCCACGAGCGGUUUCUGGCCCACGGUGGGUGCAGGUUCCCCUGGAGCGUCUCCCGGGUCCACCCAGUCCUCCACAAAUCCUGCUCUCUUCUGGGGGCCCUGGGUACCUUCAGGGCUUCGUCGUGAUGGCAGGAAGUUACUGCCCAGGCGCCGACCCUCUGAAAGCUGCCCAGUGUCACACCUUGAUCGUGCUGCUCAGGACAGGUCACCCCUACGCUGUCCGCCCACGGCCAGACGAGGCCAGUGAGACGGAGCAGACCCUGCCCUUACGUCCACAGGGCUCCAGCCUCCACCAGGAGAGCACUCGGGAGCCAGCCGUCGGCAGGCUCGGCCAGGCCCUGGGAGCAGCUCCCAGCCGGGCUUUCCGGCCCACACACAGGAGGUCCGAGCACGCUGCCAGCCAAUGACCAACGCUGCUGGCCAAGGUGAGCCAGGCCCCGAGGCCAGGGGCCACGUUCUGGUGCCCCUUAGUGCAGGCGGGAUGCCGUCCUCACAGACCUGAGGCAGGGAAGGCCUGUAGGACGGGGUGGCCUACGAGGCCGCAAGGAGCAGGACCCCGCCAGCACCUGGGGAGCUCAGACCGGACCCCCACGGAGGACCCCGCUGGGCGCAGCCGCCACCAGGCCCGGACCCCCGACUUGACUUGCCUAAGGCUGCUACGUCUGUGGUGCUCACGAAAACAUCACCCCCUUGACACCAGAGCCUCGUGGGGACCACGAGAACAGACAAAGACCCCUCCUGCCAGAAAAGCGUUUUAAUAAAGUGCCUAAAAUGCUCUCCCAAAAAUAA